rnacentral:hammerhead_ribozyme from 1 species
AUCCAGUUGACAAGUCCCAAAUGGGACGAAAUGCGCGUUAUCCUGGAU